rnacentral:lncRNA from 1 species
AAAAAAAAAAAGGAGAGAGAUGAUUUUCAUCUUAAAUUCUGCUGAGAAUGUGAAAAAUCUGAAGGAGACUGCAACUGUGUUAAGCUUGUUGCUGAAGGUGACCCAACAACCACCUUUAGGAUUCUGGAUUUGUUGCAGUUGCUCAUAAGGUCUUUGAACUACCCUUUCUUUUGGCUCCUAUUCUUUGAACCAGCAGGAGAUUGCAAAGGACAAGACUACAACUUACUGAUGUGUUCAGAGGGCUGCAAUCUUGUGAAUUCUGUUUCCCGCUGGCAUGAAGAAUGGGACAGAAGAGAAGAGCAGAGUAGCAGUACAACAUGCCAUGACAGUAUCAAACCUCUGUGCCCUGGAUGGUUUGUUUGAUCACCUUUUUAAGGAGCUGCAAUUUUAAUGUUAUUGUGACCCUUUUUCUAGUGAUAUGACUUUCAGGAGGACGAUUUUGACCACUGGAUAAUACUGCAGGUCUUGAAACAAACUUCUGCAGAAGAGAUUGAGCCUGAAUCCUCAAAUGUGCUGCGUGCUCGUUUAUGCUAGCCUUUCACCAACCAAUGAUGGAAGGAAAACAACACUGGAAGAAGUUGUCCAUUCAGUUGGCUAUCGGAGUAGCCACAUGCAGAUGCUGGGCCACUGUGGCAUAGACUGGAGAAUGAGGAAAGAAUCUGAUGCACCUAUUGGUGCUCUGUUGUUCAGAGUGUGUGGCGGAAGCAGUAGAAUAAGAAGUUUCACACAUUCUUAUGGAGAAAAGACAAGAAGCUACCUUUCAAGAACAAGAGCUUCAGGAUCUGGUCUCAAGUCACCAUUUAACAAAAGCCCAAAGUUUAAUGAGAUAACUGACCUAAGCAGAGAUCCAGAGCCAUGAGAAGAUGAAGUGCAGCCAAGUCUUUUGAAGGCAAUAAGAACAGUGUGGUUACUACUUUCCUGUAAGGCAGGUUUCCAUACUCUCUGUUUGUAUUACAGAAUAGCACUUAAUGUUCUGUUGACCAGAAAUUUCUGCUCUCUGUUUAGAAGCGGUAACAGUGCUGUAAUACUUAUCUGCAAUUAAGAUUAUAUAGAGAGCUCUGAUUACAACUGGAGAACGCCUUGUGUAGCCUCCUCAUAUCUUAUCAAAGGAACACUGAAGAAUAAAUCACUAAGUGAUAUUGAGAUUCUGUUCUUC